GACUGAUUAGAAGCUUGCUUCUAUGACGUUAGCGGCGGACGGGUGAGUAACACGUGGGCAACCUGCCUGUAAGACUGGGAUAACUUCGGGAAACCGAAGCUAAUACCGGAUAGGAUCUUCUCCUUCAUGGGAGAUGAUUGAAAGAUGGUUUCGGCUAUCACUUACAGAUGGGCCCGCGGUGCAUUAGCUAGUUGGUGAGGUAACGGCUCACCAAGGCAACGAUGCAUAGCCGACCUGAGAGGGUGAUCGGCCACACUGGGACUGAGACACGGCCCAGACUCCUACGGGAGGCAGCAGUAGGGAAUCUUCCGCAAUGGACGAAAGUCUGACGGAGCAACGCCGCGUGAGUGAUGAAGGCUUUCGGGUCGUAAAACUCUGUUGUUAGGGAAGAACAAGUACGAGAGUAACUGCUCGUACCUUGACGGUACCUAACCAGAAAGCCACGGCUAACUACGUGCCAGCAGCCGCGGUAAUACGUAGGUGGCAAGCGUUAUCCGGAAUUAUUGGGCGUAAAGCGCGCGCAGGCGGUUUCUUAAGUCUGAUGUGAAAGCCCACGGCUCAACCGUGGAGGGUCAUUGGAAACUGGGGAACUUGAGUGCAGAAGAGAAAAGCGGAAUUCCACGUGUAGCGGUGAAAUGCGUAGAGAUGUGGAGGAACACCAGUGGCGAAGGCGGCUUUUUGGUCUGUAACUGACGCUGAGGCGCGAAAGCGUGG
rnacentral:rRNA from 1 species